AUUCUACUCCCUCCGUUGCACAAUACAUGUCUUCUAUUUGUCAAAAUAUAUAUGUAUCUAGACAUGUUUUAGUAUAUAGGUACAUCCAUUUUUGGACAAAUGGAAGUCAAGUAUUUUGGAACGGAGGGAGUACAGA
rnacentral:pre_miRNA from 1 species